rnacentral:rRNA from 1 species
UACGUAGGGUGCGAGCGUUAAUCGGAAUUACUGGGCGUAAAGCGUGCGCAGGCGGUCUGUUAAGACCGAUGUGAAAUCCCCGGGCUUAACCUGGGAACUGCAUUGGUGACUGGCAGGCUUUGAGUGUGGCAGAGGGAGGUAGAAUUCCACGUGUAGCAGUGAAAUGCGUAGAGAUGUGGAGGAAUACCGAUGGCGAAGGCAGCCUCCUGGGCCAACACUGACGCUCAUGCACGAAAGCGUGGGGAGCAAACCGG